UGUUAAUCAAUCCUUGUGUUUCCCUCUUUAUUACGAUGCCUGCCCCACUCAGCUAUGUCUUGUUCUGUGAUUAGUUCCUUGUGGAUUUAUACCUGUCUGUUCUUUGAGUUCUUUGAGAGUUUGUGGUCCUGGUCCAUGUAUCCCGCGAUACUGGCCUUCGGUCCUGCAUCCUGGUUGCCCUCUGGAUCUGUUAUGUCCUUCAGCACUGCCCCCAUGCUGCCUGCCUGAGGUCUCUUGCUCCACUCCUGUUCAGCUGCCAGGGUGCCCGCCUGGGGUCUCCUGCUCCGCCCUUGUACUGCCCCCAGGCAACUUGCCCCUGUCUGUUCUUUGAGUUCUUUGUCCGUUCGUGGUCAAUGUAUCCCGGUGUUUGCAACUGUCUUUUACUCUUCAUUUUUGCUCAUCGUGUUUCAAGUGAGCCAGUUCUGUUUUUGUCUUCAUCUGCCAGUAACCAGAUUCUGGCAAAUAAAUACUUAUUUUCUUCA